UAAAUUGUCAUUUCAUCAAAGAAAGUAUCUUGUCUAGACUCUAGAGACAUACAUCACUAUUUGCUCCCUCUGGUCUCGUUUAUAAACAACAACAAAAACUUCCUCACACUCUUUAGAAAAAUGUCAUUUAAUUUUUCAGCGUAAUAAAAAAGUUAUUGUAUCUUCCAAAUUUGAAUCAAUUGAAUGGCAUUCUAGAAUCCUAAGCAUGACUAUUUUGUUGCUUAUAUUCGACACGAGAGCAUGUACUUCAGUUCAAAUUAUUUGCUACAUAACUUUUCGUUAAGCCUUUUGCAAAGUCUUGGAGAAAUUUACAUAUUUACUGAGAUUAAUGCAUAUGACCUAUGUGCUCUAGCUCGAUAGCACCUAUAAAUUCAAGAAUAAGAAGUUAAUUUGGUCCCUAAACUAUCAUUCUCUCACCAGUUUAGUCACAAAGCUAGCAUAUGUUUUCAUGAUAGUUUAGGACCAAAUUGAUCGUUUAUUCAUAAAACAUCAAUGCUAGUCGGUUUUAAAACAACAACUCAUGGACAGCCUUCAUCAACAAAUUUAAAACACAUCAUCAGAGAAAGCAAAAAGUUGAAAAGCAUCCCAAACAAGAAAUAAGCAUGACAGAUUCAUAGUUAUUAGCCUAGAAGUUGAAGGUAGUUUAGUUUGGAUGAGAUAAGCAUCAAAAUGAACAUGAGCAAGGUGUGAAAAGAGCUGUUUAUUUUGUGUGUUGGCCUCAAAUAAGGCAUGGAAUGAAGCAAAAUGAACGUGGUUUAUUGGAUUCUUGUGGAUCGAUAGUUUUUGCUUCGAGAUUGAGAGUUAGUGUCUAGUUGCAAGUUUGUUUCGCUGGUUAUGGUGUAUUCUCUGGUGGAUUGGAGAUGAGAGGGGGUAUAGAGGUGGUGGAGGCCGAAUGAGCGUUGGAAUAAGACAUUUUUGUGUGUCUCGACUAUUGAGAUGAGAAGAGGUUGUUUGAUUAGGAGGGGUGUUUCUGGGGUGAGUAACAUGCGAUGGGUGUUUAUGAAUUUCGUUUUCAGUGGUCAUUUCUCGUGGAGUUUGAUCUAGGUGAUGCAGUUAGGUUUGGUAAUUGUUGUUCUUAUGUGUGUUGAAGGUAGGUCUUGGUUAAAUGAUGUGUGUAUUGGUGUUCCUUAGUUAUGUAGUCUCUGUCAUUUUGAACAAGGAUCAUAUUUUUAAUAAAUUUUGCAGUUCAAAGAAAAAUAGUCAAUAGAGUUGUGUUAUUUGAACAUCCAUAUAUGUGA